GAGGACUUGCUUCAAAUCCCCACAAUUUUUUUUUCAACCAGAAAACUACUCAACUCCCACGCGACUCAUCAUUUCACCUUGUGAAUAAUUAACAAAUGAUGAGUCAAAUUAAUGAAGAUAAAAAAUUAAUUUUACAAGAAGAUAAUCAAGACAUUACAGUAUCCAUAGUAUCGGUUAUAUUUCUAAAAUAAGGAAUCAACACAAUACCUAAAUGUGACCGUUCUUUCUCAAGUG